rnacentral:rRNA from 1 species
GAUUAACGCUAGCGGCAGGCAUAAUACAUGCAAGUUGAACGGCAGCACAGGUAGCACUACUGGGUGGCGAGUGGCGCACGGGUGCGUAACACGUAUGCAACCUACCCUAUACAGGCGAAUAACCUUUAGAAAUGAGGGCUAAUACGCCGUAGUAUUACAGAUGGGCAUCUAUUUGUAAUUAAAGAUUUAUCGGUAUAGGAUGGGCAUGCGUCCCAUUAGUUAGUUGGUAAGGUAACGGCUUACCAAGACGAUGAUGGGUAGGGGAUCUGAGAGGACUUACCCCCACACUGGUACUGAGGCACGGACCAGACUCCUACGGGAGGCAGCAGUAAGGAAUAUUGGGCAAUGGCCGCGAGGCUGACCCAGCCAUGCCGCGUGCAGGAAGACGGCCUUAUGGGUUGUAAACUGCUUUUAUACGGGAAUAAUAGAGUGUACGCGUACAUUUAUGCAAGUAUCGUAUGAAUAAGCAGCGGCUAACUCCGUG